rnacentral:rRNA from 1 species
UCUUGGGUUGUAAACCCCUUUUCUCUGGGAAGAAAGUUGUGAAAGCAACCUGACGGUACCAGAGGAAUCAGCAUCGGCUAACUCCGUGCCAGCAGCCGCGGUAAGACGGAGGAUGCAAGCGUUAUCCGGAAUGAUUGGGCGUAAAGCGUCCGCAGGUGGCAGUUCAAGUCUGCUGUCAAAGACCGGGGCUUAACUUCGGAAAGGCAGUGGAAACUGAACAGCUAGAGUAUGGUAGGGGCAGAGGGAAUUCCUGGUGUAGCGGUGAAAUGCGUAGAGAUCAGGAAGAACAUCGGUGGCGAAGGCGCUCUGCUGGACCAUAACUGACACUCAGGGACGAAAGCUAGGGGAGCG